CCUACGGGUGGCAGCAGUGAGGAAUAUUGCUCAAUGCCCGAAAGGGUGAAGCAGCAACGCCGCGUGGAGGAUGAAGUCCUUCUGGACGUAAACUCCUUUUAGAGGGGACGAAAAGCCCGAUUUGUCGGGAAUUGACGGUACCCUCAGAAAAAGCACCGGCUAACUACGUGCCAGCAGCCGCGGUAAUACGUAGGGUGCAAGCGUUGUCCGGAUUCACUGGGUGUAAAGGGUGCGCAGGCGGGCUCUUAAGUCAAAGGUGAAAUCUCUCGGCUUAACCGAGAAAUUGCCUUUGAUACUGAGGGCCUUGAGUACGGGAGAGGGAGAUGGAAUUCCAGGUGUAGCGGUAAAAUGCGUAGAUAUCGGGAGGAACACCGGUGGCGAAGGCGGCCCCCGGGACGG
rnacentral:rRNA from 1 species